UUCAAAUAAGUUUCCAUCAUAGGAUAAUUUUGCAUAUGCUUAUUGAGAGAGGCCAGGGGGAGCAGCACCGGUGAUAAGCAGACCAGCGCCAGCAAGCACAGGAGGCCCCGACGGCAGCGGCUGCGCUUCCCCAGCGGUGAGCGCCGCACCUUCUCGACGGCCCCAUUGCGGCAGUCCGGCGAUCAUCACCCCUGCGACGACAUCACCUGGCCAGGCUUCUCUGCGCCUCUUUCCGCGGCCGUGAGUCCAUGGCUGGAUGCAGCAGGCUGACCCUUCCUCCUCCAGCGACCGUCUUCCUCUCCUUGGGAGUGCUCCACCUCUACUUCCAUACUCCAUUAUUGCGUGGUGAGGGUGGGAGCAGGGCCAUUAUUCCCUAUUUUAUUAUUGC
rnacentral:lncRNA from 1 species